rnacentral:misc_RNA from 1 species
UCCCCGUUACCGGGGCAGUCUGGUUAGACUAUUCAACUAACCACAAGGGUUGCGCUCGUUAAUGGACUUAACCAAACAUCUCACGACACGAGCUGACGACGGCCAUGCAUCACCUGUCACCUGAUUCCCGAAGGCACAAUCUCCUUUCGAAGAUCUUCCAGGGAUGUCAAGCCUUGGUAAGGUUCUUCGCUUACCAUCGAAUUAAACAACACACUCCGCUGCUUGUGCGGGUCCCCGUCAAUUCCUUUAUGUUUUAAGCUUGCGCUCGUACUCCACAGGCGGGAUGCUUAACGCGUUAGCUUCGCUACUACCAGGAUCGAUACUGAUAACAGCUAGCAUCCAUCGUUUACGGCGUGGACUAC